UUUGUAUUACGUGCGGAAAUUGUUACCAUUUUCGGCUCAAAAAUGGUAACAAUUUCCGCACGUUAAACAUA
rnacentral:miRNA from 1 species